GGGCCUAUAGCUCAGCUGGUUAGAGCGCACGCCUGAUAAGCGUGAAUGGUUCGAGUCNGUCCAUUUAGGCCCACCA
rnacentral:tRNA from 1 species